AACAUGCAGCAUUUCUUGAUGUAUAUUUGUAAAGGGAAAUUUUGUACCUAUUUUAGAGCAUUAUUCUAUUUUUUAGAACCUUUGUUCGAUAUGGAGCAUUCAAGGCUCAUUUCUACCGGACACAUAUCACUUAUCAGCUUCUGUUAACGUUACUGUCGGACAGCUGUCAAAUGCGGUGUGGCGUUAUGUAAACGUCAGUGUCAAAAUACAAAACCGCUAGAAGCUCAUUUGAAGGAACAUCUCUUGGAAUAACGUGCUGUGAGUUGUCCAGUGAGUGGAUGUAAAAACGUUUUCAUGGUCAAAUCCUCAUUCACCGCUCACAUGUCACGCAAAAUGUAUAAUUGAUGGGAUUAAUUAGAUGUGCAGUUAUCCUGGUUGUUAAAAAAUAAACCACAUGAAACGUGAAGAUAAGUCUUGAUUGAGUCUUGAGAGUGAAUGUCAUGCUGUCAGUCCAGCAGCUCCCCCUGUGUUUGUUUGCUUUGCCUGUGCGUCCCCUGUCUCUGCAAGGAGCUGUGGUCUCCCCCUGUUCAUCCCCCGAAGGGUGUGGCUGGAACAGCUCACGGCAAUCAGCCAUCAGGGGACUCUCCUACCGGGUCUUGCCAUUCAGCGCCAGAUCGUUCUGUCGUCAGAGUGAGAGGAUCAUCCCAAUCUGCAGUGAACACCUGAGGAUAAGUCCUCAAGCAGAAGGCCCGAAUCACUCCGCUUCCUGGAUCUUGAUUUACAAUAAGCUUUAUUUAAUAUUUCCUGAUGUUGACUGAAAUAUAUGCCAACCAAUUGUAAUACAUUAUACCUUAUUUUUUUGCAAUGGAAUUCUGGCAAAUACAGUUGCAGGCAAUUUGCUUUGAACUUUGUAAUAAAAUACGGUAACUCAUACA